UCAUGAGUUGACUCAUGCCUUGUGGGUCGACUCAUGAGUCGACUCACAGGUCGUGCCAAGCCAGAAAACUAGCGUGCCAAGGAGAAUUUUUGCAUGCCAAUCAGCUCACAGUGCCAUGAGUUGACUCAUGAGUCGACUCAUGCACUUAAAACCUUCAUAACUUCAAAAAUAUAAGUCCAAAAAUAAUAAAAUUUUCACCAAUAGUUUUCAA
rnacentral:lncRNA from 1 species